AUAAAAAAGAAGCUGCUGUAUCCAAAGAACUCAAAAAGCCAGCAAAAGCUCCUACAGCCAACCCAGCCAUCAAGAAAGCAGCAACACCAGAACUGCAUAAAAAAGAAAAAAUAAUGGAAUCUGGCAAAAUAACAAAGAAAGAAACAAAAGUACAUGCAGCUGUGGAAACUCCAAAGUCAAAAGCAGGUCUUGAAAAAAAAGAAGGAAAAGCAACAAAGGCAGUAAUGCAAGAUAAACCAAAGAUGAAACAAGGAAAUCCUGGAAAAGAGAAAGAAUUGAAAUCUCCAGCUGCCACAAAAGAUAAAGAACAUGCUAAAGAAAAGGAGGGGAAGAAUCCUACAUCUUUAAAAGAAAAAGAUUCCCUGAAAGGAAAAAAUCCCAAGAAUCCAGAGAGCAUAAGAGAAAAAGAGAGUGGAAAAAGAAAAGAUGUGAAGCCUCCAACAGCCUUAAAGGAAAAAGACUCUUCAAAACGAAAAGAAAUCAAGGCUUCAACUAAUCCUAAGGAAAAAGCUGCAGUGAAAAAGGAGGGGGAGAAGAAAGCUUCCUCAGAGAACCCGCAUGAGCACAAGCAUGAACGUGUUAAACAUGAAAAAGCUGCCUCUCAGACAAAGCCAGAGGAGAAAAUGAAACAACCAAAGACUAUUCCCACUGAGAAGUCAGCCCAGGCAAAAUCAGCAAAGCAUGAAGCAGUCAGACAUGAAAAAGAUGUCCCCCUUACAAAACCAGUCAAACCAAAAAACACUGCAAAACCAACAGCUGAAAUCCCAACAUCAGUCACAAAAAAACCAAAGACAACCAAGGAAAAAGAAGGUAGGAAUUUAUUCUAUGUGUACAUAUAUAUGUAGACGAUCACAAUAAAAAUAGUAUGAGAUUGCA
rnacentral:lncRNA from 1 species